CGGUAUUCUGACCGUGCAAAGGUAGCAUAUUCACUUGUUCUCCAAAUAAGGACUUGUAUGAAUGGCCACACGAGGGUUUUACUGUCUCUUACUUCCAAUCAGUGAAAUUGACCUUCCCGUGAAGAGGCGGGAAUAAAAAAAUAAGACGAGAAGACCCUAUGGAGCUUUAAUUAACUAUUCCAAAAGUUAAACAAUUCAACCACAAAGGGAUAAAACAUAACUUAACAUGGACUAGCAAUUUCGGUUGGGGUGACCUCGGAGUACAAAAAACCCUCCGAGUGAUUUUAAUCUAGACAAACCAGUCAAAAUAACCAUAACAUCACUUAUUGAUCCAAAACUUUGAUCAACGGAACAAGUUACCCUAGGGAUAACAGCGCAAUCCUAUUCUAGAGUUCCUAUCGACAAUAGGGUUUACGACCUCGAUGUUGGAUCAGGACACCCAAAUGGUGCAACCGCUAUUAAAGGUUCGUUUGUUCAACGAUUAAAGUCCUACGUGAUCUGAGUUC
rnacentral:rRNA from 1 species